rnacentral:rRNA from 1 species
GGUUGAUCCUGCCAGUUGUCAUUGCUUGUCUCACAGAUUAAGCCAUGCAUGUCUGAGUACAGACCGAUCUAAGGUGAAACCGCAAAUGGCUCAUUAAAUCAGUCUUAAUUCCUUGGAUAGUGACAAAGCUUCCUCGGAUAACUGUGGAAAAUCCAGAGCUAAUACGUGCAACUGAGCUGCAACGUCGAUGAUGGCUUUACUGUCGUCGUCGACGGAGGAGCGCAUUUAUUAACUUCAAAAUCGGCCGUGGUACUCCUCCGGGAUGCCGCGUGUAUUAGAUUUGAUGACUCCGGAUAACUAUGCCGAGCGCUACGGUCUUCGUACCGGCGCCGUAUCUUUCAAGUGUCUGCCUUAUCAGCUUUCGAUUGUAGGUUAAACGCCUACAAUGGCUGUAACGGGUAACGGGGAAUCAGGGUUCGAUUCCGGAGAGGGAGCCUGAGAAACGGCUACCACAUCUAAGGAAGGCAGCAGGCACGCAAAUUACCCAAUCCCAGCCUGGGGAGGUAGUGACGAAAAAUAACGAUGUGAGACUCUUCCGAGGCCUCACAAUCGGAAUGAGUUUACUCUAAACACUUGGACAAGGAUCCAAUGGAGGGCAAGUCUGGUGCCAGCAGCCGCGGUAAUUCCAGCUCCAUGAGCAUAUACGAAUGUUGCUGCAGUUAAAAAGCUCGUAGUUGGAUCUCUUAGAUCUGACUGGCAUACAUGGCUUCUCCGAUAGGCGCUCUAGAGUCUCUCUUAACGAGGUCUGUAGCUCGCGAUUUUUGUCGUCUUCCACGUGUGCGCCCGUGGGUGAGUGUGGGGUUGUGUUAUAUCGCUUCGCGGCGAUCGAUGCGAUUUCCUCUUGCUUUCGUGGUUGUGCGCUGGUCGGCGCGGUCGUAGGGUGAGGGCUGACUGUUUCGUUGAUGUCUUUAGCGGUGGCCGUCGGGGGUUAUGGCCCGUGUGCGGUAAGGCAAUGAAUUAUCGUUGGCUCGUUCGGAGUGCUCUUUACCGAGUGUUCUAGGACGGCCGACACGUUCACUGUGCUAAAAAAUACGUGCUCAAAGCAGGCUCAAAGCCUGUAAUUUGUUGCAUGGAAUGGAGGAAGAUGACCUCGGUUCUGGCUGUUUGGUCGAUUUUAUGGAACCGAGGUAAUGAUUAAUAGGAACGGACGGUGGCAUUGGUAUUGCGGCGCUAGAGGUGAAAUUCUUAGACCGUCGCAAGACUACCUACUGCGCAAGCAUUUGCCAAGAACGUUUCUGUUAAUCAAGAACGAAAGUUAGAGGAUCGAAGGCGAUCAGAUACCGCCCUAGUUCUAACCCUAAACUAUGCUAACUAGCGAUCCGUCGGAGUCAUUCCCACGACUCGACGGGAAUCUCCCGGGAAACCAAAGUCUUUGAGUUCCGGGGGAAGUAUGGUUGCAAAAGCUGAAACUUAAAGGAACCCACGGAAGGGCACCACCACGAGUGCGACUGCGGCUUAAUUCCACUCAACACGGGAAACCUCACCAGGCCCGGACAUUAUAAGGAUUGACAGAUUGAGAGCUCUUUCUCGAUUUAAUGGGUGGUGGUGCAUGGCCGUUCUUAGUUGGUGGAGUGAUCUGUCUGGUUGAUUCCGAUAACGAACGAGACUCUCCCCUACUAAAUAGUCGGCGGAUCGUAACCCUUGAUGGGCGAGCCGAGUCGGCGGCGUCUUGUUGUUGUCGUUGUCCCGUCGGUGGGGGUUGCUUUUCGCGUGUUGUGCGUCGGUGUGACUUCGGUUGCAUUCGGCACGCUGGCGCGUGGGGGCUUCUUCUAUCGAUUUGGGGCGCGGCGCACUAUCGUCGUUGACGAAGCGAGCGUUGCUGGGGGCGUCCGCCGCAUAGAAUCUUCUUAGAGGGAUCAGCGGCGUCUAGUCGCACGAGAAAGAGCAAUAACAGGUCUGUGAUGCCCUUAGAUGUUCUGGGCCGCACGCGCGCUACAAUGUAGGGCGCAGCGUGCCUUCCCUCUCCGAAAGGAGCGGGUAACCCGUUGAAACCCCUAUUCGAUUGGGAUUGGGGAUUGCAAAUGUUUCCCAUGAACGAGGAAUUCCCAGUAAGCGCGAAUCACGAAUUCGCGCUGAUUACGUCCCUGCCCUUUGUACACACCGCCCGUCGCUACUACCGAUUGAAUGAUUCAGUGAGGGCGUCGGACUGGCGCCUUCGGGGUGAAAUAUACAACUUAGGAUGAUGGAAAGAUGUCCAAACUGAUCAUUUAGAGGAAGUAAAAGUCGUAACAAGGUUUCCGUAGUG